rfam:Colletotrichum orbiculare MAFF 240422 contig06422, whole genome shotgun sequence.
GGCCGGCUGGCGCAAUGGUAGCGCGUCAGCCUCCUAAGCUGAAGGUUGUGGGUUCGAGUCCCACGUUGGUCG